rnacentral:rRNA from 1 species
AUGGCAGAUGAAGAUGAUUUGCUACCCAAUGGUUAUAGAGUGAUAAAAGGAGAAGGAAUGAACUAUAUGAUCUAUGCCAUGGGGAGAAUGAAAUACCUUUGGGGUGAGGAUGCUGAAGAAUUCAGGCCUGAAAGAUGGCUAGUGGAUGGAAUCUUUCAGCAAGAGAGCCCUUACAAGUUUAUAUCUUUCAAUGUAAGUACUACUUGA